rnacentral:rRNA from 1 species
AGUGAACGCUGGCGGUAGGCCUAACACAUGCAAGUCGAACGGUAGCACAGUAAGCGCUUGCUCUUAAGGGUGGCGAGUGGCGGACGGGUGCGGACUACUUCGGAAUCUACUUUUUCGUGGGGGAUAACGUAGGGAAACUUACGCUAAUACCGCAUACGACCUACGGGUGACAGCAGGUUCUCUUCGGACCUUGCGCGAUUGAAUGAGCCGAUGUCGGAUUCGCUAGUUGGCGGGGUAAAGGCCCACCAAGGCGACGCUCCGUAGCUGGGCUGAGUGGCUGGUCAGCCACACUGGAACUGAGACACAGUCCAGACUCCUACGGGAGGCAGCAGUGGGGAAUAUUGGACAAGGGGCGCAAGCCUGAUCCAGCCAUACCGCGUGAGUUAAGAAGGCCUUCGGGUUGUAAAGCCCUGUUGUUGGGAAAGAAAAGCAGCAGUUUAAUACGCCGCGGUUCUGACGGUACCCAAAGAAUAAGCACCGGCUAACUUCGUG